rnacentral:rRNA from 1 species
AUUGAACGCUGGCGGCAUGCUUUACACAUGCAAGUCGAACGGCAGCACGGGUGCUUGCACCUGGUGGCGAGUGGCGAACGGGUGAGUAAUGUAUCGGAACGUACCCGGCAAUGGGGGAUAACGUAGCGAAAGUUACGCUAAUACCGCAUAUGCCCUGAGGGGGAAAGUGGGGGAUCGCAAGACCUCACGUUGUCGGAGCGGCCGAUAUCAGAUGAGCUAGUUGGUGGGGUAAAGGCCUACCAAGGCGACGAUCUGUAGCUGGUCUGAGAGGACCACCAGCCACACUGGGACUGAGACACGGCCCAGACUCCUACGGGAGGCAGCAGUGGGGAAUUGUUCGCAAUGGGCGCAAGCCUGACGACGCAACGCCGCGUGGAGGAUGAAGAUUUUCGGAUCGUAAACUCCUGUCGAAUGGGACGAAUGGCCUGGUCGUGAAUAACGGCCGGGAAUGACGGUACCGUGAGAGGAAGCCCCGGCUAACUCCGUGCCAGCAGCCGCCGUAAAAC